AAGAACCUUACCUACCCUUGACAUGUCUGGAAUCUUUUAGAGAUAGAAGAGUGCCCGAAAGGGAGCCAGAACACAGGUGCUGCAUGGCUGUCGUCAGCUCGUGUCUGUGAGAUGUUGGGUUAAGUCCCGCAACGAGCGCAACCCUUGUCAUUAGUUGCUACAUUUAGUUGGGCACUCUAAUGAGACUGCCGGUGACAAACCGGAGGAAGGUGGGGAUGACGUCAAGUCCUCAUGGCCCUUAUGGGUAGGGCUACACACGUCAUACAAUGGCCGGUACAAAGGGCUGCCAACCCGCGAGGGGGAGGUAAUCCCAUAAAACCGGUCGUAGUCCGGAUCGUAGUCUGCAACUCAACUGCGUGAAGUCGGAAUCGCUAGUAAUCGUGGAUCAGCAUGUCACGGUGAAUACGUUCCCGGGUCUUGUACACCCCGCCCGUCACACCAUGGGAGCGGGUUCUGCCAGAAGUAGUUAGCCUAACCGCAAGGAAGGCGAUUACCACGGCAGGGCUCGUGACUGGGGUGAAGUCGUAACAAGGUAGCCGUA
rnacentral:rRNA from 1 species